AUGGCGGACGCCGACAGCAGCAGCAACACGCUGCUCGCCGACUUCGACUUCCCGCCCUUCGACCGCGUCGAGCCCGCGCACGUCCGUCCUGGGAUCCGCGCGCUCCUCGCCCGCCUCGAGGGUGAGCUGGAGGAGCUCGAGAAGGGCGUGGAGCCGGCGUGGGAGUGCUUGGUCCACCCGCUCGAGCGCAUCGUCGACAGGCUUGACAUUGUCUAG
rnacentral:rRNA from 1 species